rnacentral:tRNA from 1 species
CCGACCUUAGCUCAGUUGGUAGAGCGGAGGACUGUAGUGUACGAACAGAUAUCCUUAGGUCGCUGGUUCGAAUCCGGCAGGUCGGA